rnacentral:rRNA from 1 species
GACAGAGGGUGCAAACGUUGUUCGGAAUUACUGGGCGUAAAGCGCGUGUAGGCGGCAGGGCAUGUCGGAUGUGAAAUCCCGUGGCUCAACCACGGAAGUGCACCCGAAACUGCCCAGCUUGAGUCUCGGAGAGGAAGGCGGAAUGCUUGGUGUAGAGGUGAAAUUCGUAGAUAUCAAGCGGAACACCGGUGGCGAAGGCGGCCUUCUGGACGAUGACUGACGCUGAGACGCGAAAAGCGUGGGGAGCAAACAGG